GGGGUCAUGGGGGUCACAAGCUCCCUCUGAGCCCCCAAAAAUCCCUCGUGCCCCCCACCUCCCAUUGGCCGCUGGUUCCGCGCCAGUUUACUCACUUCCUGGACUACAACUCCCGAAAGACCGCGGGGCUCCGUAGGACGCCGAUAGAGCUGGGACUGUGGUUCCCGUCAUGCCCCGCAGCCCAUGAGAGGCCUGUUAGCGCCGGGACUGUCCCCUAAGUACCGUCCCAGCUGCUCUCCAGGUGCUUCCCUGAACCGUAAGUGCGCCCCGGGGCCCCGGCUACAGGGGAGUGUCUGCUCUGGCACCUGCAGCACCUCCUCACCUGGGGAGCUGCUCAAGGAAGAAGGACAACAGCAGUGAAAGGGACUUGGGAUCAAAGGAGGCAUCAGCAGAGCGAGAAACAUUUCCCAAGUUCUAGCUGGUUUCAGGUGAACUCAAAUGGGAGAUUAGGUGGAGCCUAAUUGGUGUCCCUGAAGGGAUGGAUGGAGUUUUCCCCAGGUUUGAGUUUGAAGGAAACAGAACUGAAAGAUUAAUGUUCUGUAAAGUUUUCAUUGUCCGAAAAGGGGUUAAAAGCUCCUACAAGCGGCCGGCUGCACCCCCCCUUCAUCUCCUCAGCCAUGCUGCCGGCACAGGCACACGUUUAUCAAGUUUCAAGAGAAAAAGGAAUGGAAGUUUCUGUUCAAGAGACUCUGUUCCCUGGGCAAGGCCUGACGAGCUCGACAUCUCAGUGGACCAGGAGUUGCCAGAGCAUGCUCAAGAGAGAGAAGUGACCGUCAACACCUGAACUUCUUUCCUGGUGUGUCAGAGACACUUGGUCUGAGAAAAGAUCAAUAAGAGAAUGAAGAAUGAGGACCUAAUUAGCAUUGGAAGCAAAGGGAUCAAUAACCAAUAGGAAACCAGGUACAAAGAACUGUUUAACUUGUGGCCAAUGAACAUUGAACCAAUGCAUUUUUCUGGGUUUUGACUGUGUAAGUAUGUGAAAAAUCUAAUAAAUAACCAUGUGUGAUGGAAUGGUUUCCUCUGCACAACACAGGCAAUGUGUGGAUUAAAUUAUCUCUGUUGCACAUUCUGGGCAGAACAACAUCCUGGCGAGAAUAAAGUAAUGCCUUAAUUCUCUUAAAGUAGAAA